AUCGCAGGUGCAUGGGCUUGACGCGUAGCAGUGAGGAGUAAUCCGAGCUCGUGUUUUUGCUAGUUGAAAACUACAACUAUAUUGACGCUCCGUAUGGCCCUCGGGUCGUAUGGGUG
rnacentral:snRNA from 17 species